rnacentral:rRNA from 1 species
CGUGUAGGCGGUUUGGCAAGUCAGAUGUGAAAGCCCCGGGCUCAACCCAGGAAGUGCAUUUGAAACUGCCAUUCUAGAGUAUGGGAGAGGAGAGUGGAAUUCCCAGUGUAGAGGUGAAAUUCGUAGAUAUUGGGAGGAACACCUGUGGCGAAGGCGACUCUCUGGACCAAUACUGACGCUGAGACGCGAAAGCGUGGGGAGCAAACA